rnacentral:rRNA from 1 species
UUAAGUCCCGCAACGAGCGCAACCCUCGACCUUAGUUGCCAGCAUUCAGUUGGGCACUCUAAGGUGACUGCCGGCUAAAAGUCGGAGGAAGGUGGGGAUGACGUCAAAUCAUCAUGCCCCUUAUGACCUGGGCUACACACGUGCUACAAUGGGCGGUACAAAGGGUCGCAAUACCGCGAGGUGGAGCUAAUCCCAAAAAGCCGGUCUCAGUUCGGAUUGGAGUCUGCAACUCGACUCCAUGAAGUCGGAAUCGCUAGUAAUCGCGUAUCAGCGUGACGCGGUGAAUACGUUCCCGGGCCUU